GGAGGGGAGAUUUUCCCUGAAGAGGUCUGGCGUUCCUACAGAAUGCAGUGUCUGUGAUGAGAAAGGGACAGGAAUUUCUGCCCUGUUCCUUUGGACAUGGAAGGACCGAGGAGAGAGCUGAGUCCCUGAUCUCCAGCCUAUGAUCCCACUGAGGUGGGCCUUCCAGCCCGGACUCCUUGUUCUCUAUGGCUUGGGGAGUUGGGGCCCAGUCCGACUUGGCAAGCAUGGAAAGGCAGGGUGAAGGAAGCCAUGAUUCCUCCGAGAACACUGGGUCUGGUGGAGUCAGGUCUGUACCGAUAGAGCUGUUCUGCCCCACUCUGGGCCGUGGCUGCAGUCUGCAGGGUGUAGGGGGAAGGCUCUGAGCAGAUGCCCUCUCCGCAGCCUUGCACCAGAUGUCUUUGGUCUAAUUAACUGUGCUGGGAAAACCAACCUGGGUUUGUAAACAGAGCUACUGGCUAAAGUCAACAGGGAACAGCAGCAAACAGCAAACCAUUCCCCUCACACUCAGCCUUGGUCCAAUUCAGACCCCUGGGGAAAACGGGGAGCUGGGUGGAUUAGGAGGCCCCCCCCGGCCCACAGCUGAAUCAGGAAAAGCCUGUCUGCCUGUGUCACCCCAAUAUGGCUGCUAGUUCCUUAUCAGUUCCAUGUCUUCUUUUCUGGGGAGGAAUGAGGAUUUUGGGAGGAACAGUUGCCAUCCCAAGAUAGGCUCUGUCCUCCUUCCAGCAAUUUCCCCAUAGACAUCUACCCAGCCAAACGUCUCAAUCCGUGAGGGAGCUGUUGUGGGGGAAUAUUCCCUGAAGAACUUUCUUUGGGGCUUGCUCUGCCCUUGUGUUUUGGAGAAACUUCUGAGGGUAAAACUUGGCGUUGUGAGUCUACAGCUCAGAGUAGGUGAAUAUAACAUGAACAUUGUUAAGUUUGUUACACAUCAUGUAGGUAUUAUAAUAACAUGUUCUGAAAUUAGAUAAUUAUUCCUGUGAUAUCUUUGCCAAGCUUCAGUGUUUCUGUUAUGGUUUGAAAGUUCAAGGCACACAGGGGCCUGAGAAACAGGCACAAAUGUGCGUGCAACACACACAGGUCCACGGAGCAGUUCAGAGCAGUAGCUCACACACAGGAACAAAGGCAUCUCAGUGGCCUCCCUCGCAUACUCACUGUCUCCCUCACCAGCUCUCAGACACAGACAUAUACAAUCUGAGAUGGAAAUGGGUUUUUGGCUUCUGAAAGAAAGGGAUUGAACUUUUUGAGCAGAUUAGAGUUUCUGAAUUGGCAGUUCUUGAGUUCUUAACUAUAUUUUGCUUGUUUGCUUUUUUUUUUUUUUUUCCUUUCUGCCACCCAGGGAGAGGAAUCAUUUCAAAGAAUUGAAAUACAUGAAAUGCUGCUGCAGGCCCCUGAUCUGCAGUCUGCCCACCCACUCAAAGACCAGGUGGAGCCCAUAGCCUGGGCCUCACAGGCCAGAGUCUGCAGGCCAGUGUCCAGCUCAGAGCCCUCAGUGCCAUCUUCAUACAGGAGCCAUCAGCUGGCAGUCCUCCCUGUCUCCCCCAGGGCUUCUGGCAGCCCUCAGACCACAGUGUCUGUGCAAGGAGCCCAGCCUGGACCCAAACCCAGAAGAAAGACUGCUCCUUACAGUUAAGAAGGCCUUGCCCCUGCUUCUGCCCUCAGGAGCUUAUAGUGUAAUUGGAAAGAUUUGCCCCAAACCAUCAGGGGCUAAUACAAAGGAGAAUGUGGAAGAUGGGGUAGGUCGUGGGGCGGGAGUGGACAGGCAGGAAAGAACUCAGAAAGGGCUGGUCCCUUCCUGGAACCCUGAUGGAGAACUAUGGUGUCCUGAAAGCCUGCUGUGCACCAGGAGCUGUCUAACCUCUUGACACAUACUGUGAGGGCAGAAUGAUUAUACCCAUUGUAUAGAUGAAGAAAUUGAGGUUCAACUGUCAUACCAAUCCUAAGAGGCAGAGAAAUGAAGAAGCAGUGACUCGGGCCCCGAUUCAGGGUCUUUUUUCAGCUUUUUGUUGGUUUGAGAAAAUAGAAAAUUCCAGUCAAAGGGAGAGGCAGAGAAGCAAAUACAUGUCACCAAUGGGAACCAACAUGGAAGUUCAUUAAGGUCAUUUUUGCCUCCAAGCAACAACGUUUGGUCAUAAAGAUUUAUUAUUUUAUUGUUCUUGUUAAUACUAAUAAAAAGCACACUUAUUAAAUG
rnacentral:lncRNA from 1 species